UCGAGACUGGCUCUGCGCUCUUCAGGCGGUUCACAACGAAUUUACAUUACAUCUACAUUUUCCACCUAUUCCGCGGUCGUUUCACUUUUACCAGGGGUAGAAUUUGUUUUAUCGGAGGUCGAGAGGAAUUUUAUUUAUUUGUUCCAUAUUUAGUUCACGGAGAUUAUUUGUUAAGAUUUAUAUUCGGACGGUUUGAAUUAUUUUUCACCACCAACAGCGGGACAGCACGAGCGAGCGACGGGGACCGGAGCUGAGAGAGAGACACGUCUUGUGCUGAAUAAAACCUCAAGAGCUCGAGAUACAGAAUGGACAUUAUUACCAAAGGAUGGCACUAUAAAUGUCUCCUAACUUUGCAUUACUUUGCACGCAGUUCGUGAGAAAUAACAUAAACAAUAUUUAUAUUUAAUCCAUAUUUAUGUUGACCUCUGCUAUUUAAAUGUUUCUGUCUUCAAAUGGCUAAAUGGACUGUACGCUGAAAACUGAUGCAGUUAUUUGAUUCGAUGUUUUAUUUGAUUUUGAUUCGAUGUAUUAGAAUCCCCAUUAGCCGACGCCAAUGGCAACAGCUCUAAACUGCGUUAUCGUUGGCCUGUGAGUCAAUUCAAACGAACAAUUACAAUAUAUAUUAUAUAUAUAUAUAUUAUAUUUUAGUUCAUUUUAGAGACGUUUUAACAUUGUAUUCAAUUUCCUUGUGUUGUUGUCGGAUUGUGCGUUCUCCUUGAGCGCCCUGAACGGAAGAAUCUAAACACACAUCCACCGGGGAUUAUAGCCUCUUCGCAUGAUGACGCCUCUCAGCUGAGACCGGGACCUUUACGUUAAAACCUAGGACCCAGGACCAGAGCCUACCGGUACGACUGUGAGCCCGGAGCCGAAACAUGAGGGCGUCUGGCAGGGUGAUCUUCUGGCUCCUCUCGGCGAUGUGUUCGCUCUCCAGGUCUCGGACGGCCACUCUGAGCAGUGUUAGAGACCCUUUGUAUGUCAGUGAUCCAGGAGCGUUGGGUUACUGUUGCUCUGAGCAGUCCCUCGCUGGGUUGUCAUGUCAUUGCCGCGGAGAUUAAUCAAUGGAUGCAGUGUCUGUCUGUGGUGCUCUCUCUGUUCGACCCAACCGCUGAAAAUAUGUGGAACUACAGUACGCGUAGAUGCCAGAAAUAUCUGGCACUUUGAUAGAGAACCAUAGUAGGCUAUUCACUGGGGCUGGAAGCCUGGAUAGUUUCAUGUCACAUAACAAUAAAAGGAGAAAUCAAACUGG